UUCUGAGCAGGGCUGCUCCGCCUGAGGCAGGGUCAGCUUUGAGUAAAGGCCAGGGCGGUUUCCCCAGACAGGCCGGGCUAGGCCUGGGGCCAGGACCUCUGACUCUGCUUUCACCCUUUGGUCAAAGGGAUUACUAGGGGGUCCUUUGUGAGUGACCUUCCCUAGUGUCCCAAGCCAUUUCUCUGGACAUUACCUUGUGCUACCUUCACAACUACCCUGUGAGGUAGGAAUUAAAAGGACAGAAAGUCUCUUUCAGGCUCUCUUUACCGGACGGAGCUAGCCAGCCUUUUCUUGACCUUGUCAGCCAUAAUUAACUGUUAUUUUUCUGAGCCUCUAUUAUCAGGACUGGGAAAUUGCUGCAAGUACCCUAAAGACACCGAUGUCCUGAAAAAUCGCCAAACAGGUGGUGCAAGGUCGCAGUGACUGGGCCCUGCUCCUUAAGAUGACAUCGGGGUGAACUGAAGCCCCCACGAAACCGACUGAGGCAUCCUUGUUCCAGCCGCCAGCGGCAGCCCCUCGCCCUUCAGAGCCCAGUUCAAAGCUCACGGUCUUCGCACCAAGCACCUUUCCUCUCCCGGAAAGUGAGCAUGAACUUUACUCUCUGCAUUUUCUUUUCUUUGUGAAUUCUUUCACAGCCCACGGCACUGGCCACCCGGACAGGCAGUAGCAGCCCUACUCGAAAGGGGAAGCCAAGGCCCAGGAGAGGUAAAGGAGGGAGCUUCGCUGAAAGUUGCGCAGCAAGUUAAACGCAGUACCAGCCUCAGGUGGGAGGAGAAAGCACCCCCAAAACUCUCAAAGAGUCACCGUGAAAAAGGAGAUGACAUGGAAAAGAGAGGCCACCUCUAAAUGGAGACACACGUUUGGGUGCUGGUUUGCCCAAGAGCCCUUGUGAUUUGGAAGUCUUAUCUUUUGAGAAGUUUUCCCCUCUUCUGAAGGACAGCGGCCCAAGACUGAGCCGAGGAUCACACCCGAUGAGCAAUGACACGAGGGAUCGAGGGAUCGAGCCUAUUCAAGGACACACCUGGAAAGCCGGUGAAUAUUCUGACUGAGACCUCCCCUGAAAUUGCCACCUGCAGAAACCAGAUGAAAGCUCUCGAGACAAAGGACGCAGGGUGCACUGUCUCUGGAGCACGUCCACGCCCCCACACUCCGCUCUUCCUCAGCUCUUGUUUCAGAAACUACAGAUAAAGCCCAUCCUGGCUCCUGGAAAACGGCCGACCUCCUGGGGCACUGCUGAAGACAACUCCCUGGGGACAAGGGGAGGCAUCAGGGUCUUCAUGUUCCAGGGAGAGACAGAGGACCACCCACCCCUGGGAACAUUCAGUGCCCAGGACAGGAAUGUUGCAGCCUCUUUCACCUGACCCUCCCCGAAUCUCAAAGCCCUCACCGCACCUUGUUUAUUCCCUGUUAUAAAAAGUCUGACCUGGAAAGAAAAGGGAAGAGGUCUGUUAGGGUGUGAACCCACGUCUUCUCAGACCGCCAGCCAUCUGAAUAAAGCUCCCAUAGAGAUUCAAUCACUGUCAUUGCUUAUUGGGUCUGGUAGUGACAGGCAGCCCGAAUGCCGGUGUCUUUUCCAGUUUUACUUUUACUUUCUCGCUCGCUCAGAAGGCCCUCCUCUUGCCUAACUUCUCAGCGAGCCAAAGCCGCCUCACCUUGUCUCAGGCCCCCCCCUGCUGUCAUCUUGCUUCUUCUGUCCUAAGUCUUUCCUUUGUCUCGGUGUCCCCAGCUUUAUUAAACACACCCUCAAAUUCACCUGGACUCAUAUCUUGAAGUCAAGAACCACACUUUCCAAAGUGUGUUGGGGCAGACCUGCCCGCCUCUGCCCAGUCCCUUCCCAGGAACACCCCAACUUUAAUGACACCCCUGGAAAACAUGCAGAAUAGCUUCAAUUUGCUGGCCAGAGCUGUGCCUUGGGCCAGAGUUAAAGAGGCUCAUAGAGGAAACCCAAGGGAGAAACCACCUGGCUUUCUAAGAUGGGCUUUGUUUUGACUGGCUAAGUCCAGGGCAGGCGGAGGACUUCCCAAGUGGUCCAGUCCUACCUCAUUUUGGCUGGACAGUUCUUCCCUUACAUUCUCUCUGUCCUCACACAUUAUCCAGUAAGCAGGAAGAAGGAACCAGGUUACACCUUCAACAGUUUGCUUGGAAAUCUCAACUAAAUAUCCAAGUUCACGGUUUACAAGCUCUGCCUUCCACACAUCUGUAGAACGAAAUUUAUUUAAGUUUCUAUCUCUGCGUAACUGGAUCUUCUGGCACUUUGCUAUUGGUCAGAAUUCCUUUUCUUGGAAGGGUGAGAAACUCAAUGCUAACUGGUUUAGGCCAAA